rnacentral:misc_RNA from 1 species
UUUGAGAUAGAAUGGGAAUUGUUUUAUUUGUUAUAAAUAGGAUAACCUACAGCAAAGGCCUGUAACUUAUCCAUGUUCCAAUAUUCAAGUGCUCUUGGCAUGUUUGUUUCUGCUUCUGCUAUCAUAGACAAAAAAUAUAGUAUACAGUUAAAUAUAGUUUAAAUAUAGUACCUAUAUUAAUGCUGAUAAUCCUGAUAAAAGUUUAACGUAAAAGGUAAAAUCCUGAAAAUAUAGUUUCAAUAUAGUAUAAGACUCUGUGAUUUCUUUAUUACAUGGUAUUGUCAUUUAUGCUAUGUAAAAGAAGCACAGCCUUCCUAUAUGAAGAAGUUUUAUUGUUUCCAAGAUUACCGUAGGUGAUAAUUAAUUUUUCUUCAUCUUCGGUUUUUGUUAUGAAUGUUGCUUAUUCUACUGUGAUUUGUAAAAAAUGGAAGAAACAUCACGAAGCAAACGUCGCUAUUCAACCAAAGAAAGGAAAUUGCUUCUCUGUGCAAAACCGCUCAAACGAAGAGGAACAGCAUUGAAACAAUAUUGGGCUUUAAAAAGGACCAAAUUACAGAAUGUCCAAGCACAGACUGAAGCCAAUGAUGAUUCCAACAAUCCCACAACAAUAAUGCCUACGGAAUUUGUCGAGGAAGAGCAUACAGAAAGCAAUGUCAUUUUCAGCACCACUUCACACAUCAUUGCAGAAAGAAAGGAAUACACCACAGUCAUCUCAAAAAACUAUCACCAAAUUAUCUCCUGUUUACAAAACUUUGGAUCCGGUUAUUGCUUCUACUUCUAAAAGUAUUCCAUUGCAUCGAACAACUUGCAUACCUCCUAAAACUUCAGAACCAGUUGCUUCUACUUCUGAAGGCUUAUCAUCACAUCCACCAACUAGCACAACUCCUAAAACUUCAGUGCCAGUAGCUUCUACUCAUAAUGGAAUCGCACUGCCUCAAGCAACUAGCACAUCUCCUAUUCCUGUGACAUCAUCUUCAUUGAUGUUAGAAGGUAGACGAAUAGUGGACGUACAUUCAUUCAUUGCUCAAAUUCAGAAAAUUGAUGACCACUUACCAUUUCAUUGCAGUUUCAAGGAUAUGACUGUAAUAAAAGAAUGUAGAAAAGGUUUGAACUCUUCUAUCACGCUCAAGUGUAAGAUGUGUAAUAUAGAAAAAUCUCUUUGACAAAUGUCUCAAACGAGAAAACUAUGGAUGUGAAUACAUCAGCAGUUUCUGGUACAAUGAGCACAUGAGGAGGUCAUUCCUAGCUGGAAGAGGUUUUGUCAUGCUUAUACAUUCCUUGCAUGUCUUACAAUACAUUUCGCAAGUAUCAUGACCGAGUAGCUGAUGCCUGGAAGGAAACAGCCGAAAAAUCAAUGGAGAUGGCAGCUGAAGAAGAAAAACAUGAGGCAAUCAAAAGGGGGGACGUUGAUGCUGAUGGUGUACCUCUAUUGACGGUUGUUGCUGAUGGCUGUUGGGCAAAGCGCUCCUAUUGUACCAACUAUAAUUCCCUCUCUGGUGUGGCUGCCAUAGUUGGAUACCACACCAAGAAAGUUCUUUAUGUUGGUGUGAAGAACAAAUACUGCACAAUUUGUGUAAGGGCUGAACGGUUGGGUAAGCAGGCAAGGGAGCACACAUGCUUCAAAAACUGGAGUACUCAGCAAAGUUCUACCAGUAUGGAGGCUGUGCUUAUUGCAGAGGGAUUCUCAUCAAGUGAGGAAAUGUAUGGAGUGCGCUACAAUAGACUGAUUGCAGAUGGUGAUAGCAGUGUAUAUAAAACAUUACUUGAUCGCAGGCCAUACAAAAAUACCAGUGUACUGGAGAUUGAGUGUCGUAAUCACCUUAUGCGAAAUUAUUGCAAUAAAAUUAGGGAAAUUGCACAAACUAGCAAUAGAGGAUGUAAACCCAUUAUGUUGCGUAAGAAGAUUGGUGACAGGCUAGUUAGGCUGAGAUACGCGGUUACCAAAGCAGUGAUCCACAACAAGGAAAAUGUUGACAAACUGAAGAGUGUGGAGAUGUUAAAAGAGGACAUUUUGAAUGGACCAAACCAUGUUUUUGGGGACCAUUCCAAAUGUAAAGAUUAUUUUUGCACUGGUAAACCCAUUUGGAAUCUUCCAAAUAUAGUUCCAGAUUUGGAAGCUGUUCCCAGGGACUUUCUCAGUGACUGAAAGAUGCAGCUCGUUUUCUGAGCUUGCAUGCUUCUAGUUUGUUAGAGGAUGUUGACAGCAAUUAUGCUGAACAUUAUAAUCACGCCGUAGCUAAAUUUGUUGGUGGAAAAAGAAUAAAUUUCACAGCUCGUGGAUGCUACCAGGCAAGGUGUCAGGGUGCUGUUGUACAACACAACACCGGAAUGGCGCUCUACAACCUUCACAAAACUAUGUUAAAAUCGAGUCCUGGAACUUUCUGCAAAUCCAUGCAGAUGAAACGUAAAUGGAAGAUUGAACAGGACAGGGAAAGACGGAAGAAGAAUGAUCUAAAAACACGCAAGUCACUUUUCCCCUGCCAGAAAACAACAGAUAUAGAUUAUGGUCCCAACGCUCAACGUCCUGAUCUAAAUGAAGAAGAAUUCACCAUAGAAAAAAAUAAAUUCUUGGAAUUGCUGAAGCGAUCUGAAGAGAGCCGUCAUCAGUUGGAAAGGAGGACUAUUUUGCAACAUCUCUCUGCUGAAUGGAUUGAAGAGAGGCGUAAAAGGAUAACAGCAUCAAAUUUUGGGAGAAUAAGUAAGAGGAGGCCACACACCAGUUGCACAAAUCUUGUUCGUGAGCUUUUGUAUGGGGGUGGUAAAAGCUUGUCAGCCAUGCAAUAUGGGAAAAUGAAUGAGGAGGCUGCUCUCAAAAACAUAGCUGAAAUAACUGGGAAGAAAAUAAUGAAAUGUGGUCUGUUCAUUGAUGCAAAUUCUCCAUUUCUUGCUGCAUCUCUGGAUGGAAUUUUAGAAGAUGGGCAAGGAAUUGUGGAAGUUAAAUGUCCUCAGACCAUAAGUCAACAGCACCCUAGAGAAGCAGCAGAAGGUAACAUUCUAAAAUUCUGCAAAAUGAACGGUUCUGAAAUAUAAAUGAAUACAAGCCAUAACUAUUAUUAUUAUCAAGUACAGGGGCAACUUUGUCACUACUGCUUAUUUUGCAUAUGGUCUCCAAAGGGCACAGCAAUUUUAACCGUGUACAGAGAAGAACAUUUCUGGAAUACAAAGGUAUACCCACAAGUGACAAAGUUCUACAUGGAUUGCCUGUUGCCAGAACUUGUGGAUCCUCGGCAUACACGUUCGAUGCCAAUUAGAAAUCCAGAUUGGAUAAUUGAGGCACAAACAACACAUGGAAAGAAUCAUUGAAUAGGUACAAUUAUGUUUUAUUUUGUUUCAAUUUGUAUUAUUUUUAUUUCAUUUUUCUGUAUUAUCAAUCAUGAGCCUUAUAACAUGUAUAAAAGUGUUAUUUUGUUUUAGUUCUCUUCAAUUAUCUAUUGUUAUAUAUCCAAUGAUACAGUAUUUAUUCUAUAUGAUAGUAGUAUACUACCGUAUCAAUUAUAAGCCUUAUUACAUGAUGUUCUAUUUUGUUUUAGUUUUUUAAGUAGGGGCCUAUUAUGUAGCAAUGAAUCUUCUUCCAAAUAAUUAUUCUCAGAAUAAUUAUUACUCUCAAUAUAAAUACUUCUUCCAAAAUACAAUGAUAAUUAUAUAAUGCAUUAUUAUCAAUCAUCAGCUUUAUACAUUUAGGCUACAAUAA